UGGGGAAUUUUGGACAAUGGGGGAAACCCUGAUCCAGCCAUCCCGCGUGUGCGAUGAAGGCCUUUGGGUUGUAAAGCACUUUUGUCAGGAAAGAAACGUCAUGGGUUAAUACCCCGUGAAACUGACGGUACCUGCAGAAUAAGCACCGGCUAACUACGUGCCAGCAGCCGCGGUAAUACGUAGGGUGCAAGCGUUAAUCGGAAUUACUGGGCGUAAAGCGUGCGCAGGCGGUUCGGAAAGAAAGAUGUGAAAUCCCAGAGCUCAACUUUGGAACUGCAUUUUUAACUGCCGGGCUAGAGUGUGUCAGAGGGAGGUGGAAUUCCGCGUGUAGCAGUGAAAUGCGUAGAUAUGAAGAGGAACACCGAUGGCGAAGGCAGCCUACUGAGAUAACUCUGACGCUCAUGCACGAAAGCGUGGGGAGCAAACAGG
rnacentral:rRNA from 1 species